GAGCGCUGGAGAGCGGCAGCAGCGACCGCAGCCGCAGGAGCAGCAAUUUAUCCGCGUGCAGCCCCAAACUGGAAAGAAGAUGCUAAUUAAAGUGAAGACGCUGACUGGAAAGGAGAUUGAGAUUGACAUUGAACCCACAGACAAGGUGGAGCGAAUCAAGGAGCGUGUGGAGGAGAAAGAAGGAAUCCCCCCACAACAAUAGCGGCUCAUCUACAGUGGCAAACGGAUGAAUGAUGAGAAGACAGCAGCUGACUACAAGAUCCUAGGUGGUUCAGUCCUCCACCUGGUGUUGGCUCUGAGAGGAGGAGGUGGGCUAAGGCAGUGAUAGACCCUCCCUCCGUUUUACCUCCCUACCCUGUCUCUCAUAAUGAGGCAUCAUAUAUCUUCUCACUCUCUGGGACAACAGAGCCACUGCCCCCUCUCCUGGAUGCCUAGUCAUGUGUAUCUACUGGUGGGAGACUGUGAGGACCCCAGGAUGCAGUAUUCCUGGCCCAGAGGGCCCUUGCUGGCUGUUGGGUUUUAGUUUGCAGUCCUGUGUGUUUCCCUCUCUUAUGGCUAUGUCCCUGGUUGUCAAUAAAAUAUUUCCUGGCCUC